CAUGCGGAAGCUAGUAACAUAAAUCUCGAACGAUAAUAAAUCAUAUAACAAAAGAGAAAUAUACUAAAAGAGAUACAAAUAUUUAACGUGGUUCAGUCAACUGACCUACGUCCACGACGGAGAUGAACAAUCCACUAUAUAAACGAGAGUACAAAAUAUCGAGAGAACAACCUCACAAAGAGGUAAACACAAGUGACACACUAACAUUUGUCCCGUAAAGUUCUGCCCCUAAACACGACUCUUAAGCCCCCUAUGACUACAUUGUAGAUGCUACUGAAUGAGAAAGAAGGAUCCUUAAUUUAUAGUAGUCCAAACAUUUUCCUACAAGAAAAAGAACUAGCCAAAUAUGAGAGAUUUGUCAAUUCCUUCUACAAGAAGGAAAACCCAAUUAAGGUAAUUAUAUUGCCCUUUCCUUCAAAAAAUAGGAAAAUCAAAUAUGGUAAGAAAAUAGUGGAAAACACCUAACAAUUCUCCCCCUUGGCCUGAAUUUUCUGACAAAAUAAACUUGAUUCACCUUCUUCACAUAGUCUUCAACAUGUCGCAUUCCAAAUCUUCAUCAUAAAGUUUGUCUCAACGUGCGUAGCACACAGGUCAAAUUUCUCAGAAAAAAUCACGAUUAUCGUCAAAUAUGCGCGGCUAGAACUGAACCCGCCAAGAUGAACUUAUCUUGAACUUUGCUCGGAUACCACUUGUUAGGACCGAAAAAAUCAGAUGUCAUACGAAAGUUAGUAACACAAAUCUCGACGAUGAUAAAUCAUACAACAAAAAAGACAUAUACCAAAAGAGACAUAAAUAUUUAACGUGAUUCGGUUAACUGAUCUACGUCCACAACGGAGAUGAACAAUCCACUAUAUAAAAAAGAGUACAAACUAUCGAGAGAACAACCUCGCGAAGAGGCUAACACAAGUGAAUAACUAACACUUGUCCAGUAAAGUUCUCCCCCUAAACACGACUCUCAAGCCCCCUAUGGAUACAUUGUGGAUGCUAAUGAAUGAGAAGGAAAGAUCCUUGAUUUAUAGAACUCCAAACCUUUCCCUACAAGAAAAAGGACUAGCCAAAUACGAGAGAUUUGUAAUUUUCUUCUACAAGAAGGAAUACCCAUUUAAGGUAAUUAUAUUGCUCUUUCCUUCAACAAAUAAGAAAAUCAAAUAUGGUAAGAAAAUUAUGGCAAACACCUAACAAUUCUCCCAUUUGGCCGGAAUUUUCUAAUAAAAUAAACUCGAUCCACCUUCUUCACAUAGUCUUCAACAGGUCGCAUCUCCAAAUCUCCACCACAAAAUUUGUCUCAACGUGCGUAGCACACCUGUAACGACCCGAAUGGUUGUUGUACUGUUUAGAACCCCUUACCCUUAAAUAAAACUCCCCACGCCUUCCUUAGCUAAAUUACGACUUGCGGGGUCGAUUAAUUCGGAAGUUAGAAGAAUUUUGAGGAAAAAUAAAACCAAUUAUUCCCUUAAGGUUUUCUUAAAAGGCCAGGUUUGACUUCGGUCAACUUUCUUAGGGAAUAGACCCGGAUUCGGGAUUUGACGGUCCCGGAAGGUCUGUGAAAAAAAAAGGGACCUGGCGUAUGCUCGGAAUCGAAUUCUGAGGUCCUUAGCUCGAGUAUAGAAUUUUUAUGUAAAAUUGUUAAAUCGAAUCUUUAAGAAAUUAAAGAAUCUAAGUAUUUAUUAAAAACCUAGGUAUCGGGUUUGGAUUCUGGUUCCGGAACUUGGUAUCCGAGUAGUCUAAGGGCGUUUUGACCCACUGGUAGGAAAUUAAGAACUUGAAGUUCAUUAAGUUUGAUCAAUUUGUUUUAGGGUCCAAUUCCUUGAUUAAGCGUUGUUUUGGGAAUUUCGAGGGUUCGACUAGGCCCGCCUCGUGAUUUUAGACUUGUCGGUAUGUUCGAGCGGGCUCGGGAGCCCCAAGUGUCUAAUGGUCGAGGUUCGAGCGAAGUUGAAACUUAGAGAAAACACAAUGUGCUGCUUCUGUCAAAACCGCUUCUGCGGCAUUUGUCACACCUCCUUUUUAUGCACCCGCGAGGGCGCAGAGGGAGUUUUUCCAAUUAAAGGACAAUCGGAACGGAAUUUUAUUGUUAUUUAUUCAGAAUCACCACUUGAAAGAUUAAUGGUGUUUCAAGUCACCGGUUGAAUCCCGACCAAGGAAAAUCAUGACUCUGUUAACAGUCUGCGAACCAAAAAUCCAGAUAAGGAAUUCUGUUAACCCGGGAGAAUGUGUUAGGCAUUCCCAAGUUCCGUGGUUCUGGCACGAUCACUCAACUGUCAUAUUUGGCUUAAUUAUCUGACUUUUACAAUUAUGACCUUAAAAGAAAAUUUUAACUUUGAACCGCUUUUAUCAUUAAUAUUAUUGUUAUUUUGGCAUUGACAAACUUACCUUAUUGACGAUAAACUAGGCAUAUUUAACGAUCAUCCAACAUUACUCAAAUUAAUAAUUUAAUUGCGUAGUUUAAAACAACCAAUUUCAGGAGCCAUUCAAGUUACCAAACCUAAACAUGAAUGAGAGAUGCAGAACUCAAACUACUGACUCGAUCAACAACAUUAUUCACUAAAUUUCCACCAUAAUAAUCCAAACACACAAGUACUUGAAAAAUGGUUUAACCAAAAUAGAAUCAAAAUCAGAAAUUAGAGUUCAAAUAUAGUCCGUAAAUACACUGCAUAAGCCCGACUAAAUAUAGUAGCGUUCAAGUGAUUAAACUAUAGAAUCAAAAUCAGAGAUUAGAGUUUAAAUAUAGUCCGUAAAUACACUGCAUAAGCCCGACUAAAUAUAGUAGCGUUCAAGUGAUCAAACUGAUUAGAUAAGAAAACAUAUGAACAAUCUUUGAAGAACACAUACCAACGUUAGGCUAACACCUCAUAUGUUACUCAAGUGCUUAAGCCUACCUGGAUUGAAAAAACAGGACAAGAAGAAAGAGAAAUCAGCGGCAGUUGACAACAACAGCAGUAACACAGCAAACUCAAAACUCAGUUGUUGAACCAACAGCAAUACAAGCACCCAAAACAGAUUUUGGACUGUUUCAGACUGAUCCCAAAACUACUCUUAAACUUAUAGAGUGAUGUUGAAGAAAACUGAAUGCCUUUUCUCUCUAUUUCCUCAACCCUUAUUAAGAGGGACUAAUGAGAUAGUACAGUUUUCAAGACAACAAAACAGAACCCUCUUAACAAUACUCUCUUAAGACUUUUUCAAACUGAUUUUCGGGACUAAAAACAAGAACAUGAACUCUUUUUUACUUUCUGAAAAUUUGAUACAAGACUCCUCUAAGGUUUUUCAAGCUCUUAGAAAACUCUCCAAAUCUUUCAAUAUGUUUUUUUUCCAGUCUUUUUAUUCUUUAAAAUCUGAUCUCCUAAAAAUAGCCAAAUGGCUCUUAUUUAUUCAAACAAGAUCCUCUUUUUUCUUCCACUUUAAUUAUUACUCUACAAACAUUUUAUUAUUACCUUACUUUAACAUCCAGCCACCAAAAGAUGCUCUUCUACGCCACUUUUAUCAUCACUUACACUAUUCUUAAUUUCAAUUAAGCAAAAUAGUCAACACUCAUCAUUUUCAAUGAUUCCUCCUACUAAUUAAUUCAAAUGAAAGCACAUUGGGGUCCUACAGGAUAAACUUAUUCAGUCAAACCAGAUUUUCCUAUUUUUCUAUUCCUAGAACACCCCUGGAAUCCUCUGUGCUUUACCCUAUAACCCCCUUACUGUCCUGUCUCACCCCUGUAGCCCAUCAACUGUGGACAAUUGAUCUAACACAAAAUAUAAUCACAGAUUAUCUAAAUCAACUCUUAAUUAAACAAUGAAACUAAUCACUGAUUAUCCUAAAUCAACUCUUAAUUAAACGAUGAAACACCAUGAACUUUAUCCAAACCAAGAAUACAUCAGCUAUAACCAAUGUUCGUAAGGGGAAACUUAACAGCUAAAUAAACUGAGGCUUAAAGGUGGUCUCAGAUUCAAUUUACAUCAGACCCUAAACCUGUUAUUUAUCUAAAACUAAAUUCUUAUUUACAGCUAUAACAAAUCCUGAAUAUCAAGUAAACAAAAUCAUAGAACUAAACACAAUUAAAAAUGACCUAUUUCAAUAACCUUUAAAACAACAUAAACAAUUAACUACUUAAAAAACAAAGAUGAACUGAAACUAUUUGACGAGAAUCGACGAAAACCUGAAUUAAUUGACGAAAACUAAUUAAUACAUUGCAUAUAACAAUUGAUAACGAACAGUCAGAAAUAGAUAAACAGGUAAUCAGGGAUUCGAGUGGCAUUUGACAGAAAUGGGGAUUAAAAGGAAACCAAUUAAUCGACAAAUCCACUCACAUUGAUUAUAUAAUUUACAGCCUAUACUUAAUCAAUGAACAGAGGAAAGGACAAUUGGCCAAAUAAAAGGCCUGAUUUGGAGAAGAACGGGAUAUAUAACAAAAAUCUAAAAAAAAUCAAAAUAACAAACUAAACAUAUAUUAAUAGUACCAAAAGAACAAAAGAAAAGAAGAAAAAUACCUUAAAAUAGGCAGAAACUGGACGACCUCAAUAUCGAACUCAGACUCGAGCCUUUUUAGGGUAGAAAAUGGACUUUAAUCGAGUUUUCUCGAUUGACAACACUCGACUAAAGUCGAUUGACACCCCAAUUUCUUCAAUUUUUCAACAGAACCAAAGUUUUGGUCUUCUAGCGUUCUUGGGCUCGAAUUGGGAUUCGAGUGGUUCCCAGGUAAUUCGAAGAGAACCAAUGGUGGUUUAGGGGUGAGGGUGGCCUGGGGGUGUCGUGGUGUGAAUUUGGGCUCGGUUGGGGUAGGGUUCAGUUUGGGCUCGAAUCUUCGAUCAAAGAUUCGAGAAGCUUGGCCAUGAUUCGGAUGAAAUGGAUUGUGGAUUUGGAGAGAGGGUGGCUUAGGGGUUCAGGGGUGUAAAUUUGGUGUUCAUCGGAGCUUAGGCGCCAUGUCUAUGGUGAAGGGGGUAGGGUGGCGGCUCUAGGUUUGGGCUCGGGUCUCUCUCUGAACGAGAGAGACGAUGAACAGUGAGGAAGGGGGGUCUGAUAUGGUGGUGGGUGAGAUAUUAGUAUUAUAUAGACGGGGACGAUUCAGUCUUGGCCGUUGGAUCAUUAACGAUAAACGGCCUAGAUCAUUCACUUAAACGAAACACUACCAUUUUGAUCUUGUUGAGAGACUGGGCUGACCCGAGUCCAAAUGAACGGGGUUACGUGGGAAGCCUUUGACCGUUAGAUUAACGAGUAUGAACGGCUCAGAUUGAUUCAUCUGAAACGACGUCGUUUGAGCUUGGACGGGAGCUGUACUGGACCGUUUUAUCUGUUUGAUCAACGGUUCAAAUUUUGAUAUGUCAAAACGGUUUCGUUUGGACCAUCUGAGAGACUGGGUCAUGUGGACUGGGUCUUUGC
rnacentral:lncRNA from 1 species